GAACCAGAUAAUCACACACAAAGCAUACAAUACUCAAGAUAAGGACAGAGUUACCCUCCUUCGCGACCGGAGAAGAUCGGCCUUCAAUCAACAGAGAAAAUCCUAGGUACAAAACCCUAGGUGCAACCGUCGAAAACCUUACUGGAAAUAUGGACAGGGAUGUCGGAAAGUCAACCAAAACAUCCACUGAGUGAGGAUCGAGCCACCGGAUAGCAGUAAAACCCUAGGUUCAACCAC
rnacentral:lncRNA from 1 species